GCAAGUCGAACGAGAACGGAAUUGCUUGCAAUUCUUAGUAGAGUGGCGCACGGGUGAGUAACACGUAGAUAAUCUACCUUCAAGCCUGGAAUAACUAUUCGAAAGGGUAGCUAAUACCAGAUAAAGUUGUUCAACAUAAGUUGAAUGAUGAAAGAUUGCCUCUUCUUGAAAGCAAUUGUUUGGAGAUGAGUCUGCGGACCAUUAGUUUGUUGGUGGGGUAAAGGCCUACCAAGACUGCGAUGGUUAGCUGGUCUGAGAGGAUGAUC
rnacentral:rRNA from 1 species